rnacentral:miRNA from 1 species
ACACCGGGUAGUUGAUUUGCUUU